UCACCAUGUAGUCCAGGCUGGCCCCGAAUUUGGAGCGAUCAUCCUGCCUCAGCCUCUCCAGUGCUGGGAUUGCAGGUGACUCUAGACUCUGAGCUGCUCACCGUUCGGGUGUGUGGUCCACCCCGCCCUCCCAUCACAUGACGCCUCUGUCACCUGGCAAUGGCCUCGCACCUACCAGAACAACCACACCCAAUGGCUCCUCCUCCUUGAAGCCGCUUCGCAGCCAGCACUGUCUUCAAGAAAUCUUCCCUCACCCUUUACCCCCUUCCCUCCCUCCACAGCCUGGGUGUGGUCCCCUUUUUGAUCUCCCC
rnacentral:lncRNA from 1 species